GAAGUGCAUUUUCACCUGCAACCUCAAUACUUUCUCUCCAGCUAGCACUUAAGACCUGCACAUAUAAAUUGUGCACCAUGUCAAAGCCACAAAAUGCUGUAUUUGCUUCUUCCAGGAUCUGAUCACCAUGGAUCAAUAACUUGUUUGAAUACCAAGUCAAGAAGAAUUUUCCACUUUCAGUAAGAGAUCCUUCCAAAGGCUGUUAGUAAUUCAGUUCUGCAUGGGAAUGCACAAUCUUCUUCUGCAGCAUAUUGCAGAGAUAAUCUUACAUCUUCAUGAAUUGAUAUUGAAGAUAGUAUGAAACGUUGAAAAUAAUGGACACUAGGGAAGUAGGGGAAUGCCUUGGUGCAUCAACUUCACGGAGAAAGAUUUGCUUAACAGAAUCACUGCUGGAUUGUAGAAUGCCAAUUGCAAGACAGAUUAUGUAUCAGUUUUUCCAAUGUAAUUGCAAGAUUAAAUCUAAGGUUCAAUUUGUAUUCAAUUACCCGAAUGCUACUCUUUCUAAUCCUUUUGCAAAAAUGACAGUUUCACUAUCUUUGUACUUCAUAUUAUGUAAUAAGAAGUAUAUACUAAUCAUUUAUGGACCUUAAAACAAAAAUUAUCAUCAGUGUUCUACAGUGUACCCAUGCUAAUACACAGGAAGUGUCGAGUUUAGAAAGAAAUACAAUACGGAGUACUAGAAAAAA